UACGUAGGGAGCAAGCGUUGUCCGGAAUCAUUGGGCGUAAAGAGCGAGCAGGCGGUUUGGAAAGUUGGACGUGAAAUUUUAGGGCUUAACCCUAAAGGGUCGUCCAAAACUCCCAGACUAGAGUGCAGGAGAGGAAAGCGGAAUUCCCGGUGUAGUGGUGAAAUGCGUAGAUAUCGGGAGGAACACCAGAGGCGAAGGCGGCUUUCUGGCCUGUAACUGACGCUGAGGCGCGAAGGCUGGGGUAGCGAACAGG
rnacentral:rRNA from 1 species